rnacentral:rRNA from 1 species
UAAGGAAUAUUGCUCAAUGGGAGAAAUCCUGAAGCAGCAACGCCGCGUGGAGGAUGAAGGGUUUUUGACUUGUAAACUCCUGUAAAGAAGGAAAAAAUUCCCAUUAGAUGGGAAAUGAUGGUACUUCUGGAGUAAGCCCCGGCUAACUACGUGCCAGCAGCCGCGGUAAUACGUAGGGGGCAAGCGUUGUCCGGAUUUACUGGGUGUAAAGGGUGCUCAGGCGGAUUUGUAAGUCAGAGGUGAAAUCUCACAGCUUAACUGUGAAACUGCCUUUGAUACUGCAAGCCUAGAGUAUGGAAGAGAGUGAUGGAAUAUCUGGUGUAGCAGUGAAAUGCGUAGAUAUCAGAUAGAACACCAAUGGCGAAGGCAGUCACUUGGUCCAUAACUGACGCUAAAGCACGAAAGCGUGGGUAGCAAACAGGAUUAGAUACCCUGGUAGUCCACGCCCUAAACGAUGAAUACUAGAUGUUGGCUUCGCAUGAAGUCAGUAUCUGAGCUAACGCAUUAAGUAUUCCACCUGGGAAGUACGAUCGCAAGGUUGAAACUCAAAGGAAUUGACGGGGUCAUAGCUGUUUCC